rnacentral:rRNA from 1 species
UACAGAGGGGGCAAGCGUUGUUCGGAAUUACUGGGCGUAAAGGGCGCGUAGGCGGCCUUCUAAGUCGAACGUGAAAUCCCCGGGCUCAACCCGGGAACUGCGUCCGAUACUGGAAGGCUUGAAUCCGGGAGAGGGAUGCGGAAUUCCAGGUGUAGCGGCGAAAUGCGUAGAUAUCUGGAGGAACACCGGUGGCGAAGGCGGCAUCCUGGACCGGCAUUGACGCUGAGGCGCGAAAGCCAGGGGAGCAAACGGG